rnacentral:lncRNA from 1 species
CUAAUCACAAGGAGAGCCCCUUUUGAGAGCUUCUUCUAGCCCCAAGUAACUUCGUUUUACCUCCAAAUUAGAAUGCAAAUUAAGAACAAGAAAGGGAAAUUUUAAGUCACUCACCUAAAUCUACGAAAUUAAAUCCUCCACCUACACAACACUACAUUUCACCAGCAAAAUAGCAGGGGCAUUUAUUGCAGUCCCUGACCAGAGGUGAAUAUCGGGUUUUGAAGACUUCUUAGGUGCCAAAGACUCUGCUGGUCGCAUUAUGAUUGCUCCAAGGCACAAUCUCUCUGAAUAUCCUCCUGAGUAUGCUCCAUGUGGCUGAAAAGGCUCACCUGCCUGUGUCUUCAGAGCUCUUCAGGAAGCAGCGCUGAGGCAUCCUCUGCCUUGCUCCCCGUCCUUCCCUGCCUCCCUU